GACGAACGCUGGCGGCGUGCUUAACACAUGCAAGUCGUACGGUAAGGCCCUUUCGGGGGUCCACGAGUGGCGAACGGGGGAGUAACACGAGCGUAACCUUCCCACACCUUUGGGAUAACGCUAGGAAAGUGGAACCAAUGCUGGAUAUGGACUCCUGCUUCAUGCGCGGGGUUGGAUAGUGCCGGCGGUUGUUGAUGGACUCGCGGCCUAUCAGCUUGUUGGUGGGGUAGGGGCCUACCAAGGCGGCGACGGGUGGCCGGCCUGAGGGGGUGACCGGCCACACUGGGACUGAGAUACGGCCCCGACUCCGACGGGUGGGAGCUGUGGGGAAGCUUGCACAAGCGGCGCCAGCCUGAUGCAGAAGCGCCGCGUGCGGUAUGACGGUCUUCGGGUUGUAAACCGCUUUCAGCAGGGACGAAGCUUUUUGUGACGGUACCUGCAGAAGAAGCACCGGCUAACUACGUG
rnacentral:rRNA from 1 species